GUCAGCCCCUCCCACAAGCAACCAACUGUCAGUAAGCGACCGUUAGUGGCCCAUUCAGCCAGUGGUCAGAGGAGUGGUGGUUGUCAGCCAGAGAGUGAGGAUUGCUUCAUGGUCAAAAGAUGGCUGUUGGAGAUCCAGUCUUCAUGUCUCAAACAGGAAGAAGAAGAAAGGGCCAAAUGCAAAUAGAUGAAGAAACCGAGGUUCAAAGAGGGUUCAGAGUUGCCCCAGGUCAAACAGCCAGCCAGUGGCAGAGCUGGGACUUGAACUCACAUCUUUCAGACUCUGCAGUCUGAACCUGAAGCCUUGCAGGAAGGAGAUGGAGUGAGAAAAGAUGAUAUAAGCUGGAAACAUCUGAUCGGCUGAGUCUGCUGGGAGGAAGGUGGUGUUGGCUGCUGGACAGCGAGCAGCGGAGGCAGAGGCCAUUCCAACCGGUGGUCACCUAUCUCCUUCUCAGACAGCCUUCCUCAAAGGGGAACAGACACACAUGGGACACAGUGAGUCAGAACGGGCCUCAGUGCACCAAAUGUGUCUCCCCCUACCUAGGUCCCCCGAUGGAAAUCUUGCCAUGGGAUGGUCCUUUUUUUGAAGGUGAAAUGGCAUCUUAAAAUCUCUUCUCUGGGGCUUCCCUGGUGGCUCAGACUGUAAAGAAUCUGCCUGUGUUGUAGGAGACCCUGGUUUGAUUCCUGGGUCAGGAAGAUCCCUUGGAGAAGGGAAAGGCUACCCACUCCAGUAUUCUUGCUGGAGAAUUUCAUGGACAGAGGCGCCUGGUGAGCUACAGUUCAUGGUGUCACAAAGAGUCAGACACGACUGAGCGACUGACACUUUCACGAAGGUAAAAUGGCAUCUUGAAAUCUCUUCUUUACCAAGAGAGACAACUGUGGGAUGUGUGAAUAGUUCCAUCUCAAAAAGAAAAAGUUCUUACUUGGACCCACAAGGCCCUGUAUGAUAUGUAACCUCCAUGCCCUGGGUGGGCUCCAUAAUCUUGGGAGCCCCGUACAGAAUGACAAGUUGGCCCCUGCAUUAUUGGGACCCCCCUGAGGGCAGAGUUUUGUCUCUUUUGGUUGGGUGGCCGCUUUUUUGCCAGUGCCUGGUGCCUGGUAGAGGCUCACGAUAUGUUGUUGUUGAAUAAAGGCUCAGUGUUCAAGUCAUGAUGUGGAUGUGUUAGUAGGGCUUCUUUUAACAUGUGUUAGGACUUUCUCUGUAUCAGAUGGGAAGCCAGGUGGAUUCUUUGCCCCUGAGCCACCUGGGAAGCCCCAACAUGUACACGUUAAGCACCUAUUCCGUACCAAGCAGUGUUGAAGCAGGAAAAAAAGAUAAAAUUCUUGCCCUCAAGGUGCCCUCACCCCAUUCUCCUGGAGAUGAUGGGGGGGGGGGCAGGGGUGAGCAAAUAAAGCAAAUACCUAGUAAAUUAGAUGACAGUGACAAGUGACAUGGGGGAAGGCAAACCUGGGAAGGGGGCAUGGAAGGCUGGUGAGGUGGAAUUUAUCUAUAUAUGGAUCUUCCUUGUAGUUCCAGAUGGAGCUAGAAUCAGAUUCUUUUUCUUCUAAUCAACCUGGUCAUUAUUCAGAGAUGCCAGAUUCAGAUUCACUCCGUUUAGGUAAAAUGCAGGCAAGUUCAAUAUCUGGCACCCAGAGUUAAAGAGGGGACUUAACAGUGAGGCUACUCCUGUUCCAGACGGGGCCUAGGCACCCUGAGCUGAGCUGCCAGGGUACAGGGGACGUGCCCAGGAGCCUGGGAUGGUGGGGGUGGGAACACUUCUAUCAGUGGAUCUCGGUGCGCAAGGCCAGAAUGCAUGCAUGUCCUGGGCCCUGGAGAGGUGGCCAGGCAGCUAACAUGGCUGGGCAUUCUGGGGCUUGAGUUUCCCAAACAUGAGACUAUAAACACAAACGUGGCUAUAGGCCAACCAUGUUGUUGCAUGCUAAAUGGGGGUCUGGUACCUGAACCAAAUUAGCAUUAGUCACCUUCUAUUUAGGGCCCAUAAGCAUCUUCUAUUUUCACAGUCCACAGGGAGGCCCAAGAAACACAGAUUUAUGAGACAAUGGCUUUCUUUUGUUUACACAGUCUCAUUCUGAGGUACUAGGGGCUGGGCUCCAAUAUAUGCAUUUUGCAGGGGACCCAAUUCAGCCCAUAGCGGAUGGGCAGUGGCUAGAUGAAGAAAGGCCCGGGAGCUGUGUGAGGAGUAUGGAUUUCAUCUGAAGCCUCACACAGAGCGACGAUACUCAUGUUUACAUUUUACAGAGUUCUAAUGGAAGCAGUGAGGGGAAAGACUUGGAGGAGGGUGGAGAUGGGUUUGAAAGUUCUGGGGUUACUCUCUGAGAGCACCUGGCAGAGGGGAGAUGCAGGGGGCAGAAGCAACGACUUGUCAUGGGUCACCUGCAAGGGGCUGGACAGAGUGAGUUAGAUUUCUGGUUUGGGCUACUGGGUGCACUGUGGGAAUUGUAACCGAGUCCUGGAGGAGAGUGUGGCCCACGCAAAGGGGUGAAGAUGGGUCCAAGGUGGUGGGGGGACAUGGUGAGUUUAAGGGAUCAGUGGGACAUCUGAGUGGAGGCCGAUCUCCAGCUCUGGAAAGAAAUCUGGAUAGAGAAAUGGAUUUGGGACUCAUUAGCUUGGGUGGUAAUUGAAGCCAUGGGAAUGGACGAGGGAAGGGUGCUGGCCGUGAGUUUGAAGAUUCAGAAGUGAGCUGGAAACUGUUCUUGUUAAAGCUGGAGAUGUGUGUGCCCAGAAUGACAAGUGCUCUGCUGGUACGAAAACCCCUCUAAUUUUUACGCCCACGUUCUGUCUGAGGAGUCACUGGAGGCUGAGGGUGCGGAGAGAUCCUCUGGUCUCCUGGGUGUCAGCUCUCUUCCCAAGCCCACAGGGUGUUUAAUCAACUUUUGAGACUUAAUGAGUUACUGGACGCCCUCGCAGCUGAGUCAGCCCAGGGCCCCCUCCUGGGAUGGGCUGUGAGUGGCCCUCCAAGACAGAACCACCUGCUUUACCAGGCAUGGGGGUGUGACUUCCCAGGCCAGCGAGAUCCAAUGGCUGAUUUACACAGCAUCACUAAUGAUGCCAAUGAAGGAAAAGUAUUUGCUGAACUUUGAGGAUGCAUGACACAAUUUUGGUAGUCUUAGCAGGUUUGUCUUUUUAAGAUGUCUUUCUUGGACUGCUUUUAAAGUAAUACCAGCUGGCAUGUAUAGAGUCCUCACGAGUCCAGGUGAUGUAUGAAGCAUUUUUCUUGUGCUGUCUCACUCCAUCCUCACAGAUGGUUGUGCCCAUCUUCCUCAUGAACACACAAAAGCUUGGGGAGGGAGGCAGCUUGGGUGAGAUUGUGUAGUUUGCAGGCGAGGGGCCUGGACAUGAACCCCAGCAGGCUGAUGUGAAGCUUCCCAUGUUGUCACUUAGCUACUGCCUGGUGUGUUCCUUCAUGGAAGGGACACCUUCCCUGUUUCUCUGGCCUCAGAGUCAGACACACUCCUGGGGCUUGUUUCUAGCUCACCCCACGGGCUGGCAUGUGACUUGGGUCAGUUGUUUACCCUCUCUGUAUCUCAGUCUGCCUUUUUUUGUAAAAUGAGACCAUUAUGCCCACUAGAAUGGCACUUCAGAGUGAGUGUAGUGAUAAUGAGGCAUAAUGAUUGUGAAGCACUUGGCUCCAUGCUUGGAACAUAGUAAGUGCCUGUGGCAGAUGGUUCUACUCAGAGAUGGCCACAAUAGUACCUAUCCCAUAGGCUCUUUUGCUCCUGUGAUGGUAACACUUCUUCACUGACCAUUGGGUUUAGAUCCCGUCCUCUUGAACCAGGAGAUACCUUUGCAAUCACCCUGGCCAACAGGCUAGGGUGGAAGUGAUGCUAGGUGACUUCUGAGACUAGGUUAUAAAAGUGUCUGCCUGGCUGUCUCAGUCUGUCUUGAGACACGUGCCCAGGGAGCCGUGAACCAAUAUGUAAGCUGUCUGGUUAUCCUGUGGCCUCUGUGCUGGAAAGUGCAUGUGGGGAGAACCCUCAGAAAUAGAGCCUCAGCUCUUCCAGCCCCCAGACCUUUGAGUAUGUCCAAAAAGUGUGUCAAUUCCUACUGACUGGGAGUUUAUGAGUAAUCAUAAAGGCUAAUUGGAUUGCCUGAUACCAGAAGGUUUGGACUGUGCAAAUGAGGGCAAUCAGGAUGAGAGCCCUGUAUAUGGCAGCAGAGGGAGGGGCAUUCUCCCUCAUCUCUUCCCUGAGAGGCCCCUGUAAGCUAAGGGAAUAAGACAUCCUUUGGUGCAUCAUUUUACACUUCCCCCAACACUUCCAUAUCAGUAAUCUCAUUUCAGCUAUACCAUAUACCUCCAGGUUGGAGUAGGACAAGAGUUAUUUACUCCAUACUCCAGCUGAGCAAACUGAGGUACAGUGAGGGGAGGGGACAGAAUUCAGGGACGUAUAAUGGUUUAGGGGCAGAGCAAAGAAAGUGUGUUCUCCUUGCCGUCAAUGCCUAGCUCUUCAGCUUGCUAGCUGUGUGACCUUAGGCAAGUUACUUGACUUUUCUGUGCUUCAGUUUUCUCAUCUAUAAAAUAGGGAUCGAAAUGGUACUCCUUUAUAGGGCUGUGGUGAAGAUUAAUUUACAUAUUUCAUGUGAAGUGUUUAGGGCAUUACUAGAAAGUAUGGAAAAGCUGGGAAAUGGCUGAACAGGGGGUUUCAAAUCAGGGAGUCUAACUCCUGACUCCACACUGGUAGGCCCAAGUCCCGGAAAUUCCUACCAAUCCUCCAAAAGGAGGUCGAACAGCAAUAUUCGACCAGGACAUUUUCCAGCUUCUCCACUAUUCCCUGGAGAGCCUAACUUUGAGUCCGCCUUGCCCACUGUGCCUUGAUUACAUGAUGCCCGAGCUGAAGGCAGCACCAUCACCCUCUUGUUUUAGUGCAGUCCAGGAUUUUGCUGUGUGUGUUUUUUUUUUUUUUUUUUUCAGUCAGAGCAUACCAUUGACAUCCUGAGUUGGCAGUAAAAAUCUGAAGUGUUCUUACCACAGGUACUCAUGUAAAGCUGCAUUCCUACCCAUCUAGGACUGACGCAGGUGGAGAUAUAACAAAACCGACUAUGGCAUCAUUAGUUUGUUACAAAAGAUGUUGUUUUGUUGACAUCUGCUAUUUGUAGAAGAACCCAGAUGAGUUCCUCCUCCCUGGGUGCUUGGAAAUGCCCCUAUGCUGUUUCUGAUACACCCUCCUUUUUUUCUUAAGUUCGUAUGAGUGGCUUGCUGUUACUUAUAACCAAAAAAGUAAGGGGUGGACUGACUUCUGGGUGGCCCGUAUGUAGGAAGGAGGGAGGUGUAGCAUGGACGUCUUGCAUGGUGGAGGGCAGAGAAGGCAAGCCCUGGGAGCCCGCGCCAUGGGCCGCAUCCAAUCCUGCGGCUGGUGUUAUGGUUGAUCAUGAGUUUUUCCUGCUGAGUCUGGGUGUGACUUUAGCUUUGAUCAGCUGUCACCUGAAUGCGAAGAGACUAUGUUCUAAGAGGACACUGGUGUAAUUAAUCAGGCUUCAAGCUUUUUUGUUGUUCAGAUGGCUCCCCAGCUCCCUUAAUGUACUGCUGUCUAACCCACAUUUUUCCAGCUUGCCCACAAGGAUGAAAUGAUAUUUUUGACAUGUCUUAUUUCUUGCUAACUACAAAUUCUCUAAGUGGCCACACUGCUGGAUCCUACUCGUCUAGCAAAACUAUGUGUGGUACUUGCUCAGAUAGUCACUGGGUGGUGGUCUGUGGGUAGGUGGGUCAGAGUGGAUGGAACCCAACCCCAGAGCCCACUGGGCAUCCCUUUUGCAGUCAGUGGUGGGAUGUUAACUCCCGUGAGUGCAUUUCCACCAGGUGCCUUUGCUUAGGUGACAUAUGGUAAAUGGCAAAUGGACUUUGUUAUGCCUAUGGCUCUUUGUGUAGCUCCUGGGCAGUAUUGGAGGGCAGUGCUGACUCAAGUAGAAGCUGAGCCACCCCUGAUGCUUUUCUGCCUUGUCUUUGAAUCCUGCAUGUUGUCUCCUAAUUGAUCCCCAUUCUCUCCCCACCUCAGGCCCCAGUCUAGGGACACCUUUCUAUUCUGGGGAGAUGUAAGUUCACCCUUACUUAUAUUCUCUCAAAUAUAUUGUCUAUGCAUAAACCCUUCUUAUUUGCCUGUGCCUUGGCUUUUGGAGCUCGAAGUUAGUUAUUAACUUUUUUUUUCUUUUCUUCUGCUUUAUUUUAUACCAUUGCUUCCUUAAGGGAAGGAAUGCAGACUGCUAGGCUAAAUAAAAAAGAGAAACACAGGGCUAUAAGGAAAUGCCAGAAUGAAAAAGCAUAUUGGUGCAUAUUUUAGAAAUGUUAUCCCACUGCACAAAUUAUAGAAACUUUUUCAACCCUAGCCUAAGCAAAUUAGAGGAGUUUAUGAUAAGAGUGAGGCUUAGGCAAGGCAUGGGGAGAAACAUCUGUUGUCAAAAAUGAUGGGGUUCAGGAGCCAGGGAGCAUGAAAAGCUGGAAGAAGGCGCACUCGCCAUUGUCACUGCACGGGUCCCACCAUCUCUCAUCUCUGCCCCUCUUGGAAUGUCUACUUGGCUCCUCUCUCUUGGGACUGGCUUUCAUGCAGCUAUCGUGGGCAUAUGACAUAUAGAUCCCCAGUCCUGCCUGUAGUUCAGAUGGUGCUUUGUACCAAUUGGAAAAGCUGCCCUUUCACAGAAACACUUUAUUACCAUCUGAGUACCGUAUUAAAAAUACAUAAACAAGGGAGGAUUGAAGAUGUAAGUAUCCACUCCAGAGCUGUAUAAUGAACAGCUUAUAGUGUUGUGUGCCAUGACUGCAAGGGUGCCUCCAGGUAUCCUCAGAAGCAGCCACAGAGAAGAACCAACAUUCUUAAGUCUGAACCCCAGAGAAACUCUGGUCUAGCCUGGGCCAGGUGUCCACCUGCCUGUGCUUCAGGCAGCAGCCGCAGGGGCUGACUGGCCAGUACAAAAGUGUCUUCAGACAAGUAGCUGUGAAGGUUGGGAAGACCACCCCAAAAGGCACAUGCACAGGGAUUUAUCACAGGCAUGUUAGGGUAUUUCUUUGUCAAACUCCCCAAAUUUAACACAUCCUUUGAAAUACUGAAUCGAUAAAUUUCAAGAUACUAACACAUAUAUAUGGAAUUUAGAAAGAUGGUAAUGAUGACCCUGUAUGCGAGACAGCAAAAGAGACACAGAUGUGUAGAGCGGACUUUUGG
ensembl:lncRNA